rnacentral:rRNA from 1 species
GGGCCGAGCCGGCGGCGCAGUCUCCGUGCGACCCGACGCACUUCCUCCCGCCCUCAGGACGCCGCAGCCGGUUGGGUAGCUGCGCGAGUCGGCCAUAAGGACGGGCACCGGAAGGUGGCCGGUGGCGUUCCCAUAAGGUUCGUCGCCGGUCGUUAUCCAGCCCGCCCGUGGCACGACACCCGACCGAGGUCGAAGGUCCACGUUAGGACCUUGCCGUCCCCUCCCCCGUGGUCGAGCAGGAACGGCGGCAGGCGAUUCCCCGUCAGGCCGUCUCCACUCUCCGAGUGGCCGGUCGACGGGUGGCGCCGUUGGCUCGUCGAUUACCUGCGCGGGGCUGUUUAUUUUCCGGCGGCUCGCGGCGAGUAGGUCGGUCACCCACCCGACCCGUCUUGAAACACGGACCAAGGAGUCUAACAUGUGCGCGAGUCACGGGGUCUUGUUUAGGCCCAGAGGCGCAACGAAAGUGAAGGUCGGCCUCGACGCCGUCCGAGUUGGGACUCUCC